rnacentral:piRNA from 1 species
UAGAUUUGAAUUCCAGCUAUGUGACAUUGGG